rnacentral:rRNA from 1 species
ACAAGCGGUGGAGCAUGUGGUUUAAUUCGAUGCAACGCGAAGAACCUUACCUGGUCUUGACAUCCUGCGAACUUUCUAGAGAUAGAUUGGUGCCUUCGGGAACGCAGUGACAGGUGCUGCACGGCUGUCGUCAGCUCGUGUUGUGAAAUGUUGGGUUAAGUCCCGCAACGAGCGCAACCCCUAUUGAUAGUUACCAUCAUUAAGUUGGGUACUCUAUUAAGACUGCCGCUGACAAGGCGGAGGAAGGUGGGGACGACGUCAAGUCAUCAUGGCCCUUACGACCAGGGCUACACACGUGCUACAAUGGGUAUUACAGAGGGCUGCGAAGGUGCGAGCUGGAGCGAAACUCAAAAAGGUACUCUUAGUCCGGAUUGCAGUCUGCAACUCGACUGCAUGAAGUCGGAAUCGCUAGUAAUCGCAGGUCAGAAUACUGCGGUGAAUACGUUCCCGGGUCUUGUACACACCGCCCGUCACACCAUGGGAGUGGGUUGCUCCAGAAGUAGAUAGCUUAACGAAUGGGCGUUUACCACGGAGUGAUUCAUGACUGGGGUGAAGUCGUAACAAGGUAGCCGUAGGGGAACCUGCGGCUGGAUCACCUCCUUAA